GCCGGGGUGGUGGAAUGGUAGACACAGGAGACUUAAAAUCUCCAGAUCUUUAUGGUCGUGCGGGUUCGAGUCCCGCUCCCGGCA
rnacentral:tRNA from 2 species